rnacentral:rRNA from 1 species
GGUUAAGCGACUAAGCGUACACGGUGGAUGCCCUGGCAGUCAGAGGCGAUGAAGGGCGUGCUAAUCUGCGAUAAGCGCCGGUAAGGUGAUAUGAACCGUUAUAACCGGCGAUACCCGAAUGGGGAAACCCAGUGUGAUUCGUCACACUAUCAUUAACUGAAUCCAUAGGUUAAUGAGGCGAACCGGGGGAACUGAAACAUCUAAGUACCCCGAGGAAAAGAAAUCAACCGAGAUUCCCCCAGUAGCGGCGAGCGAACGGGGAGGAGCCCAGAGCCUGAAUCAGCAUGUGUGUUAGUGGAAGCGUCUGGAAAGGCGCGCGAUACAGGGUGACAGCCCCGUACACAAAAGCGCAUGUGCUGUGAGCUCGAUGAGUAGGGCGGGACACGUGGUAUCCUGUCUGAAUAUGGGAGAUGCAUCCUCCAAGGCUAAAUACUCCUGACUGACCGAUAGUGAACCAGUACCGUGAGGGAAAGGCGAAAAGAACCCCGGCGAGGGAGUGAAAAAGAACCUGAAACCGUGUACGUACAAGCAGUGGGAGCCCCACCACCAAAGCAUUCUCUGGUGUUGAAGGCCCUGCAAAGCAGCAUCGCGGUGGCGGAGCGUCGUUUGCGACGCCCAACACACAAAACAAGCGGUGAGUGCUUUGGGGUGGGGUGACUGCGUACCUUUUGUAUAAUGGGUCAGCGACUUAUAUUCUGUAGCAAGGUUAACCGAAUAGGGGAGCCGGAGGAAACCGAGUCUUAAUUGGGCGUUAAGUUGCAGGGUAUAGACCCGAAACCCGGUGAUCUAGCCAUGGGCAGGUUGAAGGUUGGGUAACACUAACUGGAGGAUCGAACCGACUAAUGUUGAAAAAUUAGCGGAUGACCUGUGGCUGGGGGUGAAAGGCCAAUCAAACCGGGAGAUAGCUGGUUCUCCCCGAAAGCUAUUUAGGUAGCGCCUCGUGAAUUCAUCUCCGGGGUAGAGCACUGUUUCGGCUAGGGGGCCAUCCCGGCUUACCAACCCGAUGCAAACUGCGAAUACCGGAGAAUGUUAUCACGGGAGACACACGGCGGGUGCUAACGUCCGUCGUGAAGAGGGAAACAACCCAGACCGCCAGCUAAGAUUCCAAAGUCAUGGUUAAGUGGGAAACGAUGUGGGAAGGCCCAGACAGCCAGGAUGUUGGCUUAGAAGCAGCCAUCAUUUAAAGAAAGCGUAAUAGCUCACUGGUCGAGUCGGCCUGCGCGGAAGAUGUAACGGGGCUAAACCAUGCACCGAAGCUGCGGCAGCGAACGUAUCACUUAAAGCGAUUCAGCGGGUUACGAUUGACGGAGCGAAGCGACGUCAAAGCGUAUACAAAGUCGAGUCGGUUUAAGGAUACGUUCGUUGGGUAGAGGAGCGUUCUGUAAGCCUGCGAAGGUGGCCUGUGAGGGUUGCUGGAGGUAUCAGAAGUGCGAAUGCUGACAUAAGUAACGAUAAAGCGGGUGAAAAGCCCGCUCGCCGGAAGACCAAGGGUUCCUGUCCAACGUUAAUCGGGGCAGGGUGAGUCGACCCCUAAGGCGAGGCCGAAAGGCGUAGUCGAUGGGAAACGGGUUAAUAUUCCCGUACUUGGUGUUACUGCGAAGGGGGGACGGAGAAGGCUAUGUUGGCCGGGCGACGGUUGUCCCGGUUUAAGCGUGUAGGUGUGUGUUCCAGGUAAAUCCGGUUCACUUUAACACUGAGGCGUGAUGACGAGGCACUACGGUGCUGAAGCAACAAAUGCCCUGCUUCCAGGAAAAGCCUCUAAGCAUCAGGUAACAUCAAAUCGUACCCCAAACCGACACAGGUGGUCAGGUAGAGAAUACCAAGGCGCUUGAGAGAACUCGGGUGAAGGAACUAGGCAAAAUGGUGCCGUAACUUCGGGAGAAGGCACGCUGACACGUAGGUGAAGUGAUUUACUCACGGAGCUGAAGUCAGUCGAAGAUACCAGCUGGCUGCAACUGUUUAUUAAAAACACAGCACUGUGCAAACACGAAAGUGGACGUAUACGGUGUGACGCCUGCCCGGUGCCGGAAGGUUAAUUGAUGGGGUCAGCGCAAGCGAAGCUCCUGAUCGAAGCCCCGGUAAACGGCGGCCGUAACUAUAACGAUCCUAAGGUAGCGAAAUUCCUUGUCGGGUAAGUUCCGACCUGCACGAAUGGCGUAAUGAUGGCCAGGCUGUCUCCACCCGAGACUCAGUGAAAUUGAACUCGCUGUGAAGAUGCAGUGUACCCGCGGCAAGACGGAAAGACCCCGUGAACCUUUACUAUAGCUUGACACUGAACAUUGAGCCUUGAUGUGUAGGAUAGGUGGGAGGCUUUGAAGUGUGGACGCCAGUCUGCAUGGAGCCGACCUUGAAAUACCACCCUUUAAUGUUUGAUGUUCUAACGUGAAUCCGUGAUCCGGGUUGCGGACAGUGUCUGGUGGGUAGUUUGACUGGGGCGGUCUCCUCCUAAAGAGUAACGGAGGAGCACGAAGGUUGGCUAAUCCUGGUCGGACAUCAGGAGGUUAGUGCAAUGGCAUAAGCCAGCUUGACUGCGAGCGUGACGGCGCGAGCAGGUGCGAAAGCAGGUCAUAGUGAUCCGGUGGUUCUGAAUGGAAGGGCCAUCGCUCAACGGAUAAAAGGUACUCCGGGGAUAACAGGCUGAUACCGCCCAAGAGUUCAUAUCGACGGCGGUGUUUGGCACCUCGAUGUCGGCUCAUCACAUCCUGGGGCUGAAGUAGGUCCCAAGGGUAUGGCUGUUCGCCAUUUAAAGUGGUACGCGAGCUGGGUUUAGAACGUCGUGAGACAGUUCGGUCCCUAUCUGCCGUGGGCGCUGGAGAACUGAGGGGGCUGCUCCUAGUACGAGAGGACCGGAGUGGACGCAUCACUGGUGUUCGGGUUGUCAUGCCAAUGGCACUGCCCGGUAGCUAAAUGCGGAAGAGAUAAGUGCUGAAAGCAUCUAAGCACGAAACUUGCCCCGAGAUGAGUUCUCCCUGAGACUUAGAGUCUCCUGAAGGAACGUUGAAGACGACGACGUUGAUAGGCCGGGUGUGUAAGCGCAGCGAUGCGUUGAGCUAACCGGUACUAAUGAACCGUGAGGCUUAACCUU